CAGGAGGGGCGGGAGGGGCGCGCAGGCGCGGACCGCCUGGCGGUACUUUGAAGAAAGACUUCUCGACGCCGAGACACUGCUGGUGGUACUCGAUGUAGGUGAGGAAACUGGGGCAUAGAGAGGACCAGUUCCUCUGAGGUCAGCCAGCAAGUGCACGGCAGAAUCAAGUCUCAAACUGGGAGUUGUCUGCUCCCUGAGCCCAGGACUUUCAUUGAAAGCCUCUGAGUCACCAGGGGCAUUGAAGCCCCUCUGGGUGUCUCAAGCAACCCCACAAGGACUGUGUUUUCAACUUAUAGAUGAGAAGACCACCAGCCUGGACAACAUGGCAAAACACCAUCUCUACAAAACAAAAAGAGGAUAGCGGCCAGGCACGGUGGCUCACGCCUGUAAUCCCAGCACUUUGGGAGGCCAAGGCGGGUUGAUCACGAGGUCAAGAGAUCAAGACCAUCCUGGCCAAAAUGGUGAAACCCUGUCUCUACUAAAAAUACAAAAAAUUAGCUGGACGUGGUGGCACGCACCUGUAGUCCCAGCUACUCGGGAGGCUGAGGCAGGAAAAUCGCUUGAACCUGGGAAGUGGAGGUUGCAGUGAGCCGAGAUUGCGCCACUGCACUCCAGCCUGGCGACAGAGUAAAACUCCGUCUCAAAAAAAAAAAAGAAAGAAAGAAAGAAAGAAAAUAGCCACGCAUGGUGGCGCGCACUCAUCCCAGCUACUCAGGAGGCUGAGGUGGGAGGAUCGCUUGAGCCUGGGAGUUCAAGGCUGCAGCAGCAAGCUGUGAUUGUGCCAUCGUACUCCAACCUGGGUAACAGAGCAAGACUCUGUCUCAAAACAAACAAAAAAAAAACAAGACUCAGUGGGACAAGUCACUUCCCUGUGUAGAGGGGACAGGAUUUGAACCCAGGUUGUUCAUUGCCACAUACUUGCUCUGAUUCUUCCAUCCACACCGUCAGAUUACAGCCGAGCGCUGACAGCAAACUCGCAAAUGAAAGUACAUUAGUAGAAUCCAGUAUCCCCACUCUGGAGUGAGCCCUUCCCUCAUGGGGGAAGAGAGGCAAAAAUAAAACAUACAGAGACUAAUUUCAUGUUCUGAUGCUUUAAAGAAGACAGGGUGGUAUAAUGGGGGUGGCAGCAAGCUACUGGGUGAAAUAUUAAGGACGAUGGCAAGCCACUUUAGCCAGCAUGGUCAGGGAGGGCUGAAACCAUCCCUGAAAACUUUAUAAUAUUAAUCAGAGAAGAAGGGAGGGGGACAAACUAAAAUCAGCCACACUUACAGCACACUCAACAUUCAUCAUUAGGUCAGUUUGCUCUCUAACCCCUUCCUCAUAGCUAGCUGUUUGCCUAUUGCCCCAGAAUCACACACACACAAAAAACCCAAUCACAAGAUAUAGUUCCCCUUAACUGCUCUACAGAUAACAUAUUAAGCAUUGUGAAAGGUCAAGUUUUCCAUCUGAGAUAUCCUUUCAAGUCCUGCAUACCAGUGAAACUACUGAUGCCCACUGAUCUGAAGGACCCCACGGGAGCUGACUUACCAAAGAAUGCAGCUUCCACAUCCGAUGAUUUCAUCCCCUUUACCUCAACCAAUCAAUGACUCUAAUUUUCCAGCCCUUCACCCCCAAAGAUCCCCUUAAAACCCCAGCCCAGAAUUCCUCAAAGAGAGAUUUGAGGGUUCCUUCCAUCUCGGUUGGCUUCCCUGCAAGGGAAUUUAAUUUCCUUUUUUAUUUUUGUUUGUUUGUUUUUUGUUUUUGAGACAGGGUCUCACUGCAUUGCCUAGGCUGGAGUGCACUGGCAUGAUUGUGGCU
rnacentral:lncRNA from 1 species